UGGAGGCAGCAGUGAGGAAUCUUCCGCAAUGGACGAAAGUCUGACGGAGCAACGCCGCGUGAGGGAUGAAGGCCUUCGGGUUGUAAACCUCUGUCUUCAGGGAAGAAAAAAAUGACGGUACCUGAGGAGGAAGCCCCGGCUAACUACGUGCCAGCAGCCGCGGUAAUACGUAGGGGGCGAGCGUUAUCCGGAAUCAUUGGGCGUAAAGGGCGCGUAGGCGGAUAUUUAAGUCAGGUGUGAAAACCCAGGGCUCAACCCUGGAUCUGCAUCUGAUACUGGAUAUCUUGAGGACAGGAGAGGAAAGUGGAAUUCCUAGUGUAGCGGUGAAAUGCGUAGAUAUUAGGAGGAACACCAGUGGCGAAGGCGACUUUCUGGACUGUAACUGACGCUGAGGCGCGAAAGCGUGGGGAGCAAACAGGAUUAGAUACCCCGGUAGUCC
rnacentral:rRNA from 1 species